UAACUGUAAUUUAACAGCAUAAAAGAGUAUUUGUAAUGAACUGCUGUAAAUUUAUGGUGGAUUACUACAGCAUCUUACUACAAUAUAUUACUGUAUUUUAAAUAGUAAUAAUUAACAGUCAAUUUUCAGUCAACAAUAAGAAACUGUAAUUUACCAGCAUAAAAUAGUAUUUUCUGUCGAGCAGUGGAGACGUCCCUUCUCAAGUCCAGUCAUUAUCCACCAGCAUCUCACUGAUGAUUGCGGGUUUCUGUUUCUAUUUUGAUGAUAGUACUUCUUUACUGAUCAAACUUCUCAAACUCCUCAUUUUUGAGUGACAAUAUACCGACUGGCUAUUCCUGAACUUGACUUUGGAGAGCACAGCUCCAUUCAAGAAGUCCAUGUGGAGUUCAACAGAGCAGAGCUGAACAGAGGAUUUUUUUCCGAAGGGAUUGAGUUGGGAUCUAUAAUCGCCAGUCUCUCACCAGGUGGAGAAGUAAGGCACUUGUCAUCAGUGACUGAGGAGACCAGCCAAACCCUGCUGAGAAGUGCUCGCUCUUUCUUUCUUCCCCUCUUUUCUUUCUCAACAUCCACUGUCAUUGUUCACAUGCGAUAGACUUGUUUUCAAGCUAGACUGUUCUACUUUAAUGUAGUGUUACACAGUUUUAGAUGGUAUUUUAAUUCAGUGUCUGAGGUUAUGUAGUUCAGUAAAGUCUGUCGCUAAUGUUUGUAUUGGAGAUAGUUUCUUCCAAAUAUGGUAAAUGCAAUACCUUCUCAUUUUUUUAAUGCAAAUGUUCUCAAUGUUACUAAUCUUACAAAGUCUGCUGUACAAAUGAGCAUUUUGUAAUAAAACUA